GUACACUCCUGCGGGAGGCAGCAGUGGGGAAUAUUGGACAAUGGGCGCAAGCCUGAUCCAGCCAUGCCGCGUGAGGGAUGAAGGCCCUAGGGUUGUAAAGCUCUUUCACCGGUGAAGAUAAUGACGGUAACCGGAGAAGAAGCCCCGGCUAACUUCGUGCCAGCAGCCGCGGUAAUACGAAGGGGGCUAGCGUUGUUCGGAUUUACUGGGCGUAAAGCGCACGUAGGCGGACUAUUAAGUCAGGGGUGAAAUCCCGGGGCUCAACCCCGGAACUGCCUUUGAUACUGGUAGUCUUGAGUUCGAGAGAGGUGAGUGGAAUUCCGAGUGUAGAGGUGAAAUUCGUAGAUAUUCGGAGGAACACCAGUGGCGAAGGCGGCUCACUGGCUCGAUACUGACGCUGAGGUGCGAAAGCGUGGGGAGCAAACAGGAUUAGAUACCCUUGUAGUCCCAUGAU
rnacentral:rRNA from 1 species